AUUGAACGCUGGCGGCAUGCUUUACACAUGCAAGUCGAACGGUAACAGGCCGCAAGGUGCUGACGAGUGGCGAACGGGUGAGUAAUGCAUCGGAACGUGCCCAGUCGUGGGGGAUAACUACUCGAAAGAGUAGCUAAUACCGCAUACGAUCUAUGGAUGAAAGCGGGGGACCGUAAGGCUUCGCGCGAUUGGAGCGGCCGAUGUCAGAUUAGGUAGUUGGUGGGGUAAAGGCUCACCAAGCCAACGAUCUGUAGCUGGUCUGAGAGGACGACCAGCCACACUGGGACUGAGACACGGCCCAGACUCCUACGGGAGGCAGCAGUGGGGAAUUUUGGACAAAGGGCGCAGGCCUGAUCCAGCAAUGCCGCGUGCAGGAAGAAGGCCUUCGGGUUGUAAACUGCUUUUGUACGGAACGAAACGGCUCUGGUUAAUACCCGGGGCUAAUGACGGUACCGUAAGAAUAAGCACCGGCUAACUACGUG
rnacentral:rRNA from 1 species